ACAACGAUAAGGUAAGAGUAUUAUCAAAAAAUUAAAGAAAAGAAAGAAAAACAAAAAAUAAAUAAAUUGAAAAACGUAUGCCCCUUUAUUAUACGUACCUGGCAAUUUGUUCGUUCCUCCUCUUCUCGAAUUGGCGCAAACUAGAUUGGUUAUUCUCGGCCGUUGAUCUGUUUAUCUCACUCAUUCUGUCUCCGUUUGUCUCUCUCUCUCUCUCUCUCUCUCCCUCCCUCUCUUUCUCAUUCUUUCUUUCUCUCUCUCCAUCCUUCUCGCUACGCUACUUGAAUUUCGCUACGCUACGAACGAUAGAAACAUGAACGAAGCUGAUUUCAAUGAAAUCUUUUUCACGCUAAAGGAGGCCUCGGGUAUAUUUCUCAUUUCACAAGCGGCUCGUAAUCGAUCAGUAGUGCGUACGCCGCAAAUCGGACUCGAAAACCAUGAAGAAGAGCUUCAAGUUAAAUCUCGAACACGAAACGAACUCUCAUUAAGAUGAAAAUUACGCUUCCUUGAUGCAAAACUUCGCGAGUGACUGGAUAGUCUGAAAGUGAACGAACGAUUUUGAUGUUCAGUGAGAAGAAAACUAAUAUUAAAGCGAAUAAGUAAUUUAGAAAUUUUCAUAUAAACUUACGACGACGUUAAACUGGAUUAUUAUCUUAUACAGCAUGAUGCUUUUUUUGAAAAUUCUAAGAACAUGAAAUUCGUAAAAUAAAACUAUUGUGUUUUGAAGAGGCUUAUUUGUGUUUAAGUCCACUUGAGAAUUAAAUUAUCGUAAAUUAAACCUCGAUAAUAUAUUUCUUGUUAGCGAAAAUAACAUUUACGAUAAUAAUUAUCGAGGAAUGACAAAUACGAAAAUACGUAGAAAGAUAAAAUUGUAGAAGACCUUCAAAUUAAUAACAAUACAUGAAGUAAAAAUAUUUUGAACAAAGGAAUGUAAAGGUUAUCUGGCUCUUAUCCAAAAUCGAGCAACAAAACAAACGAACGUAAAUAUAAUACUUAUUUAGAUGGACAUGGACGAAUCUCAAAAGAACACAGUAUUAAGCGUUCUUGGUAAUAGUAAACUCUCGGCGAACGUGAUUAUCUGAGAAUAAAAAUUCUUGAAAUUGUUCUUAAAUGGGUACAAAAUAUGAGAGUACUUUCGAGAGUAAUUAUCGCAAAAAACUCUCAAGUGGAUCGCUACUUUUAGAGUUCUCCGAAGCGACUAAUCAGCCGGCAAACCGGUUAGAAAAAUUAGGGAAAAAGGGAAAGAUAAAAAUAAAGGGAGAAGAAAAAAAAUGAAGAAAAGUGAAAGGAAGGGAAUAUUUGAUUGAUUCGAGAUGUAUCCGUAUUAUUCGACUAGAUUAUAUUUAAAGACGAUGUGACUGUACAAAGUUACCAUUAUAACAUAAAUAUUUCAAAGAUAAACUUAAGACAAAUAUUUAACCUACGAGUUUACCUUUUGAGUUUUUCUCUUGUUUAGGAAAUACCGGAAAACUGAAUAUUCAUAAGGAAUGUCUGAAACACAAAUAAGCAAUGACUAAGGAUCUUUAAUUUUGUCUACGAAAUCUAUUAAAUAAACACUCAAUGAAUUCUCAAAGACGAGCGUUUCGUACAACAAUAAAAAAUAGUAGGUCUCGAGAAAUCUUCACGGAUCAGGCAUUUGAAAAUCUUUUUCUCGGUCUCCCUUUUACUCAUUCUUCCUUUCAUCUCAUUAACCGAAUAAUAUCCACAGGCAGAGGAGCAGUAACCGCAGAGACGACGAUUCCAACGUUCUCGAAUAUUCCCAAGGGUUAACAAUGUCCUUAAUGACGUAACAUAAUUACGAAGAAGCUUUCCCUCACGAUGUACGUCACCGGCAAACGCGGGAGCUUAAUUGUAAAGCCUGGAAGAUCGAGGCUAAGCGGCUAAACGAGCACGAUCGUCCUUGACGAAGGACUCCGAGGUAAAGCUCCUAAUCUGAACUUUUCCUUCUCUUCCUCUUCAAGCUGCUUCUUUACGUCGUUCUCGUCGAUAUAGAAACAUCAAGAGAUAAACCACAAUGUCAUCCUGCGCUACCAUUAGAGAGUAAUCGCUUUAGAAACAGACUCUCCUUUCUAUUUUAUCAUUCUCUUACUAGAUUUACUAAAAUCCCUUUUCGAAAGACCUAUUUAACACUUAUGAUUAUGUACUCGUAUAAAAGGAAAUAUUAUAUGAAACAUCAUAUGAAAUAUUAUUAUACUUAGAACCUAUUUAACGAUCACAAUUAUAUCGUACUCGUGUAAAGUGAAAUUAAAAUAAACGAAUGCUAUUAAUA